UACGUAGGGUCCGAGCGUUGUCCGGAAUUAUUGGGCGUAAAGGGCUCGUAGGCGGUUUGUCACGUCGGGAGUGAAAACUCAGGGCUCAACCCUGAGCGUGCUUCCGAUACGGGCAGACUAGAGGUAUGCAGGGGAGAACGGAAUUCCUGGUGUAGCGGUGGAAUGCGCAGAUAUCAGGAGGAACACCGGUGGCGAAGGCGGUUCUCUGGGCAUUGCCUGACGCUGAGGAGCGAAAGCAUGGGGAGCGAACAGG
rnacentral:rRNA from 1 species